ensembl:lncRNA
UGAAAGCCGAGCCCUAGCAGCGGAGUUCACAUGAAGCUCCGGAGAGGCGGGGCGAAACUAGGGUGAAGGGGUUAGGCAGUGGACGGGCUAGACCCGCCACCUCCCCCGAAGAGAGAGCGCUGGGUGCGGGGGACGCUCUGAAGGAUUGAACUCAGGUCCUUGUGCUUACACAGCAGGCGGCGAAACCACUGAGCUAAAUCCCCGGCCAUUGAGCUGCAUUUUAAAAAAAAGAAGAAGAAGAAGUGCAUCACUGUUACAAGGGACAAGGAUGUCAUUUUAGUCAUCACACUAUUUAAAUUUGUGGUCCCUCCAACCAACCCAAAAGAGAAAACUGAGACCCGGACAUGGUGGUGCACACUUGUAAUUCCAGCACUCAGGAGGCUAAGGCAGGAGGAUCGCUGUAAGUUCAAGGCCAGCCUGGGCUACAUAGUGAGUUCAAGGAAAGCCUGAACUACAAAGGGAGAUCCUGCCUCAAAAAACCAACCAACCAACCAAACAAACAAAAAACCCUGAGAGGAACCAGUGUGUCUCCGUAUCAGACAAACCUGGGACUGGAAUCCCAGUUCUGCCUCUGCCAAGAACUUGUUUUUGCACGGAAUGCAAUAAUUUAAGGCUCGGAAUUUAUGUUGGCUGCUCUGAUAUUCCUUGCUGAAAACCUACCUUCUUACAUAUGUUACUUCCAACAAAAAGCUGAUACCUUACGUGCUGUUGAUCUCAGAAAAGAAAUACAUGUGGGAAAAGAAGCGAAUUUCUCAUUGCCAUUGAAGUGUCGUGACCACCUGUCGUGGGAUUUGCCUGCCAUCUGCUGUCCGAGUGAGGAACAACAGCAGAGAAGUGGGAGGAAGGAGUCCCUCCACACCCUCUGAGGAUGGUUUGCAGAUGAAGGAAAGUGGGUUUAGAGAGGCCAAGCGACUUGCCCAGGAAUGCGCUGCUGGUGAUGGCUCGUCUCCCGAUGUGACAGCACUUGGGCCUUCUCAUUGAGCCCCCUGCUUAGUCCUCAAGUGAUGAGGAUUCCUAGAUGAAACCACUUCUCUCCAGCCUCUGGAUGUUGUCUCCUGGUCCCCAAAACGGGAAGAGAGAGAGGACACAAGAACUAAAGGAUUGGAGUCUGCGCUCUGGAAGGAAGGAGGGGCUGAGCCAACACACGUCAGACACUCACUUCCUUCAAGCCCUGAGCUAUUGCAUCACUGUAUUUUACCUGCACCAACAAGCAUGCUUUACUAUUCAUUUCCAUUUGUGUGUGUGUGUGUGUGUGUGUGUGUGUGUGUGUGUGUGUGUGUUACCAGAGACUAGAGACUAGAACCCCAGGGUGCCUUACCUCUGAGCUGCAUCUUCAGGCCUUUUUUAUUUUUAGACAGUGUCUCAAUUAGUUGCCCAGUUGGGACUCAAACUGGUGAUCCUUCAGCCUCAACCUCCCUAAAUGCUGGGUUUGUAGGUGUGUGUCACCCUGCCUGGCUAAACCCUGCUUUAAAGAGGGGAAAAUCAAGGCAAAGAGGUUAAAUGGUUUGGCCAACGCCCACAGACAAGUGACCAAAGCUGGACUGUAAAGCUGGAGAGAUCAAACCAGGACCGCUCAUACUUCAAGAAAAACAUUAAGCAAUAGAACUAGGACAGCCUCACCCCAAGUCUGCAUGUAACCAUUACUCCAUCUUGCUUCCUUUGUCCUGGCUGUUUGCUUAUAACUACACAAAUCACACACCCUCUGAUUAGUUAAUGCUCGAGAUAGCUCUGUCUGACACUUGAGAAAAUGUCAGAGGGGUCAAGCGUCACAGGUCUGACUGACAGCAUGUCCGGCUCCACAUCCACCCACUGCUGCCUUCACAGAUGAGCUGGGGAGGAGUGGAGACAGGAGGGGACCAGCCAGGUAGUUGCAGGGGCUCAGGAUGAGGGCCCACAUGGCCCUCCUGUUCAUCACUCAGUCUUUCUCCUCAGUACCAGCCCUUUGCCUGACAUUUGCAGCCACCUUCUCUGGGGGUGGCUCAUGGAGGUUUCCCUGUGCUGCUGUUGAGUCAUUUCUCUUUUGAGUUCCCCAGAGUUCAUGGGAACUCUCCACCCAGAAAUGGAAGCUACUCAGAAGACCUCAGUUCAAAGUGGAGGAACUUCCUAGCAGCAUGGGGACUGCCUAGUGAUGUGGUGGAUUUUCCAGCACUGGCCAUAUUCAAGUAGAAACUGAAUAGCCGUCUAAGGGGGAUUUCUAUAGUGGGCAGAGGCUGGGCCUAGGCUGUUAAAGCCCUUCUGACUGUGAGAUUGUAUGAGUUAUCAUGAGAUGAAAUUUCACCCAUCCAUGAGGGUCAAGUGGUAGCACAUAUACGAGCUUUCAUGUCAGAUAGACCUGGAUUCAAACCUGGCUCAGAAAUCUGGUGGUGCAUGCCUAUAGUCUCAGCUAUUUGGGAGGCUGAGGCAGGAAAGUCACUUGAUCCCAUAAGCUAGAGACCAGCCUUGACAACAUAACAAGACCCCAUCUCAUAAAAGCAAAAAAUGGCUUAGCUAUCUCGUUUGGGGACUGUGGGCAUAUUUCCUCCCUUAGCCUCAGUUUCCUUGUUGUAAAAUGGAAAUUAUAAUACCUUUGAGCGUUAAGGGUGAUGCCUAUGUUCUGGUUGGUAUAAUAAGAACACAACAAAUUAUGCCUACUCCUCAGCAUUAAACAAACGGCUAAAUCACAGAUUGGCAGGUUUUUUGGUGGCCUUUGAUGACAGAGUUGAAUGAAAGAAUUAAAUUCAUGUGUUAAUCGAGGUACUAAACGUCUGGAUACUUAACAUGAAUAGGAAAACAGCUUUUUUCUGUGUCUAUCUCUGAAAUAAUCAUGAAAAAUGUGAUAUAUAGGGCUGGGGAUUUAGCUCAGUGGUUUUGUCGCCUGUUGCGCAAGCACAAGGACCUGAGUUCGAUCCCUGGUACCAAAAAAAAAAAAAAAAAGUGAUAUAUAAGUGGGUAAAAUUCAAGAAAUGUUCAAGGAUCAUGAUGCCUUUGCUAAGAAUUGAAAAUCUGAGUCUCUGACCCAAAGGGAACACAUCAGCACAGAUAAACAUUCCCCUGUGGGAACAGAAAUCAGCUCUAAGACAUUGAUGGAUUUCAUUAGUUCUCUGUGUGUGCAGCCUAGGUGAUGGGAAACUCACUACCUGCUGAGACUGUCAGUAGGAAACUUACCAUGUUUCCCAGCUUGUUUUUUUACUGUUUGCCAGCUGGGAAAUAGAAUUUUCUAAUAUUGUCAUCCAACUGAGACCAGACCCCAAUCAGACAGGCACUGUAUGAUCUGAGGAAUGUGUAAGCAGGUGGGCAUUCACAGCAGCAGAGGUGGGGCCAAAUGUCUGAUAGAGUGACUUUCAGAAUCACACAGAUCUUGGCAUGAGUUCUGUUCUGUGACUCAGCUGUGUCCUUGGGCAAGUCAAAAACUCUGAACAAGGACCAGGGAUUUAGCUCAGUGGUUCCAGUGCCUGCCUUGCAAGCGCAAUGGUCCUGAGUUUGAUCCCCGGUACCAAAACCCCCCACAAAAACCAAAACAACCCUGAAAAGUUUUCUUGUGUGUGAAAUGGGAUUGAUUGUACCUUGCUCACAUGAUGAUUCAGUGAAAUUAAACAUUAAAGUGCUUGGUGCUGGGCACUUCACAUAGGGAA